rnacentral:ncRNA from 2 species
AUUUGUGAGGCCAAAGCUGGUUCCUGUCCAUGACAGGCUAAGAGGGAAUGUGACGGGGCACCCGAGGAUCGGGAACCUCAAACACAGCCGCCCCCGCGACCGUGACCGGAGUGCUUGACCAUGCCACUGGCCCGCAAGGCUGGGAAGGCGGUCAGGCGGGGGCCGAUGGCCCCGCUCCGCAAGCCGGGAGACCUGCCAGCGCAUUAUCUAUCGG